rnacentral:RNase_P_RNA from 1 species
ACUACGAACCGUGCUGUCGCUUCAACCGAAAGGUAGAUGAGGAAAGUCCGGACAACAUAGAGUAACGCACCACCUAACGGGUGGGGCUGCUCUUUUCUCUGCAAAGGGCGAAGAGCGGUACAGAUAGUGCCACAGAAAAUGACCGCCUGCCAGUUGCGCAAGCAGCAGCAGGUAAGGGUGAAAAUGUGGGGUAAGAGCCCACGUUCUGGUAUGGCAACAUAUUGGGAGGGUAAACCUUGCGUGUUGAAAUGCCAUGUAUACGGUCGCUUAGGGCUACUCGUCCGAUGACCGAGGGUAGGCAGAUACAGGUGUCGUGUGAACGGCAUCGAAGAUAAAUGAUAGCAGCUCCUUUUAACAGGGAGAACAGAAUCCGGCUUAUAGGUUUGUAGUUUUU